UAAUAUGUUUGUUAGGACUUAGGAUUUGACUUUGGGUUUCCGUUAUCGGAUUGAACUUGAGUUGACUGUUUGAAUCAGCGAAGAUCUGAUAAUUUUGGUGAGUAUUUUUUAAGAUUAUUUUUAAGUUCUGUGUUUUUUCUAUUUUUUUCUGAUUAAUUUAUUUUAUUUUAUUUUAUUUUAUUUUUUUUUGGUAGUGAAGAUAUGAACUUUGGAUAACAAAUAAGGAUUUUUUUUUAAUUUUUUUUUUUUGAUUUCAGGGUGGAUUUUGUUGUUAGUUAUUAUUAUAUUUUGUUCUUUCUAAUUUUUCACAUGUUGUACAGCCAUGUUCUUUGAAUUGGAUUUGAUUGAAAUUUUUCAUUUCUUCUUUUGGUUUUAGAUUUUUCUGUUUUCUUGUUGGAUUCAAUAGAUACUGGGGUAAUAUUUGAGCUAUUAUCAAAAUUGGAGUUUAGUUUCAUCUGUUAACUUUAUUGAUUU
rnacentral:lncRNA from 1 species